UGCUGCACCUCAUGUCCAGGUCACCAC
rnacentral:misc_RNA from 1 species